CCUACGGGAUGCAGCCGUGAGGAAUAUUGGUCAAUGGACGAGAGUCUGAACCAGCCACGUAGCGUGAAGGAUGACUGCCCUAUGGGUUGUAAACUUCUUUUAUAUGGGAAUAAAAUGUUCCACGUGUGGGAUUUUGUAUGUACCAUAUGAAUAAGGAUCGGCUAACGCGGUGCCAGCAGCCGCGGUAAUACGGAGGAUCCGAGCGUUAUACGGAUGUAUUGGGUUUAAAGGUAGCGUAGGUGGAUUGUUAAGUCAGUUUUGAAAGUUUGCGGCUCAACCGUAAAAUUGCAGUUGAAACUGGCAGUCUUGAGUACAGUAGAGGUGGGCGGAAUUCGUGGUGUAGCGGUGAAAUGCUUAGAUAUCACGAAGAACUCCGAUUGCGAAGGCAGUUCACUGGACUGCAACUGACACUGAGGCUCGAAAGUGUGGGUAUCAAACAGGAUUAGAUACCCUGGUAGUC
rnacentral:rRNA from 1 species